rnacentral:rRNA from 1 species
UACGAGGGGGGCAAGCGUUACUCGGAAUUACUGGGCGUAAAGCGUGCGUAGGUGGUGAGUUAAGUCUGAUGUGAAAUCCCCGGGCUCAACCUGGGAAUGGCAUUGGAUACUGGCUCGCUAGAGUGCGGUAGAGGGUGGUGGAAUUCCCGGUGUAGCAGUGAAAUGCGUAGAGAUCGGGAGGAACAUCUGUGGCGAAGGCGGCCACCUGGACCAACACUGACACUGAGGCACGAAAGCGUGGGGAGCAAACAGG